rnacentral:pre_miRNA from 1 species
AGCUGGUAAAAUGGAACCAGAUCAACUACUCAACGGAUUUGGUCCCCUUCAACCAGCUAU